AAGACCUUGCGCUUUUGGAGCGGCCGAUGCCUGAUUAGCUUGUUGGUGAGGUAAAAGCUCACCAAGGCUUCGAUCAGUAGCUGGUCUGAGAGGACGACCAGCCACACUGGGACUGAGACACGGCCCAGACUCCUACGGGAGGCAGCAGUGGGGAAUUUUGGACAAUGGGGGCAACCCUGAUCCAGCCAUGCCGCGUGAGUGAAGAAGGCCUUCGGGUUGUAAAGCUCUUUCAGCCGGAACGAAACGGUCACGGUUAAUACCCGUGACUACUGACGGUACCGGAAGAAGAAGCACCGGCUAACUACGUGCCAGCAGCCGCGGUAAUACGUAGGGUGCGAGCGUUAAUCGGAAUUACUGGGCGUAAAGCGUGCGCAGGUGGUUUUGUAAGUCAGAUGUGAAAUCCCCGGGCUUAACCUGGGAACU
rnacentral:rRNA from 1 species